UUGUACACACCGCCCGUCACACCAUGAGAGUUUGUAACACCCAAAGCCGGUGGGGUAACCUUUUAGGAGCUAGCCGUCUAAGGUGGGACAGAUGAUUAGGGUGAAGUCGUAACAAGGUAGCCGUAGGAGAACCUGCGGCUGGAUCACCUCCUUUCUAAGGAAUAAUACGGAACCGCACACGAGUCAAAGUUUUGUUUAGUUUUGAGAGGUCUACUCUCAAAACACAUGCGUAUCGGGCCUAUAGCUCNAGCUGGUUAGAGCGCACGCCUGAUAAGCGUGAGGUCGAUGGUUCGAGUCCAUUUAGGCCCAUACAUGGGGAAUUAGCUCAGCUGGGAGAGCGCCUGCCUUGCACGCAGGAGGUCAGCGGUUCGAUCCCGCUAUUCUCCAUUGAACAACGUGUAGGUGUUCUGCUUUUGUUCUUUGAAAACUGAAUAAUAUCUAUAAUUUUCUAAUUUUAAUUAAUCAUAAUUAAACCGAGAGAAAACCGCGUAAUUUUAAAGAGUUAAACAAGAUUAGUUCAAAAUAAUCGCAAUACUCAAUUAAUCGCUUUACCGUAGGUAAAGUUAGGUUAAGUUAGGAAGGGCGCAUGGUGGAUGCCUUGGCAAA
rnacentral:misc_RNA from 1 species